rnacentral:sRNA from 1 species
UCCCGCUGCCCUCCUUGGGCGUUUCCUCCCUAGACUUCGGGCCGCUCUCACGAGCGGCUUUUUUUUGCCCCGA